UCAUGGUCUCUGUGACCACAGCUGUGUGGGUGUGGCCACAGCAUGAAGUCCCAGGCAUUUUGGUAUUGAGAUCAGUUUACUACAACAGGAGCAUCUCAAGUCUGAGCAAAAGUAACUUGUCUCCCAGACAAGCACAUUGUGUGUCACUGGUGAACUUCUUUUAAGCUCCGGCACCUGUACGAGUGCAAUCCUAUGGCUUUCAUCAUUGAGCAGGCAGGAGGCUUGGCGACCACGGGCACCCAGCCUGUACUGGACGUGAAGCCUGAGGCUAUUCACCAGCGGGUCCCCCUCAUUCUGGGGUCCCCGGAUGAUGUGCAGGAAUAUCUCCUCUGCGUACAGAAAACCCAGGCAGGCAGGUAGUGAGCGUGACCCCACAAGCUCUCACCUCCCAUCCCUUGUGCUAAGGACCCUAAAUGAGUGAGAAGUGGAGGUGGCUGGGAGAGAAGAAGAGGCGAGCCUGCCUUACCACACAGAGCAGAGCAGCACAAGCUGCUGACAACAGCUUUAGAAGCCAGAGCUGAUGUAAAGGGCUAAGUGCUCCAUGUAGAGGGCUAAAAAUAAAAUCCACAUGUGAGAAGCACGA